GAACGCUGGCGGCGUGCUUAACACAUGCAAGUCGAACGAUGAAGCACCAGCUUGCUGGUGUGGAUUAGUGGCGAACGGGUGAGUAACACGUGAGUAACCUGCCCCUCACUCUGGGAUAAGCCUGGGAAACUGGGUCUAAUACUGGAURCGACCGAUCUCCGCAUGGAGUGUUGGUGGAAAGUUUUUGUGGUGGGGGAUGGACUCGCGGCCUAUCAGCUUGUUGGUGGGGUAAUGGCCUACCAAGGCGACGACGGGUAGCCGGCCUGAGAGGGCGACCGGCCACACUGGGACUGAGACACGGCCCAGACUCCUACGGGAGGCAGCAGUGGGGAAUAUUGCACAAUGGGCGAAAGCCUGAUGCAGCGACGCCGCGUGAGGGAUGACGGCCUUCGGGUUGUAAACCUCUUUCACCAGGGACGAAGCUAACGUGACGGUACCUGGAGAAGAAGCACCGGCUAACUACGUGCCAGCAGCCGCGGUAAUACGUAGGGUGCGAGCGUUGUCCGGAAUUAUUGGGCGUAAAGAGCUUGUAGGCGGUUUGUCGCGUCUGCUGUGAAAGACCGGGGCUUAACUCCGGUUCUGCAGUGGGUACGGGCAGACUAGAGUGUGGUAGGGGAGACUGGAAUUCCUGGUGUAGCGGUGAAAUGCGCAGAUAUCAGGAGGAACACCGAUGGCGAAGGCAGGUCUCCUGGGC
rnacentral:rRNA from 1 species